AUUCUGCCCAAGCGGGGAAGGAUGAGAAGCUUCGACCAAGGUUCGACUUGAGCGCCAGCGAGAGAGCGUUGCCGCAGGCAACGACCCGAAGGGCGAAGCGCGC
rnacentral:sRNA from 1 species